rnacentral:rRNA from 1 species
CUACGGGAGGCAGCAGUAGGGAAUUUUGCGCAAUGGGCGAAAGCCUGACGCAGCAAUACCGCGUGUAGGAAGAAGCACCUUGGUGUGUAAACUACUGUCGGUGGGGAAAAAUAAAGUGAUUGUACCCACAAAGGAAGCAUCGGCUAACUACGUGCCAGCAGCCGCGGUAAGACGUAGGAUGCAAGCGUUGUCCGGAAUUAUUGGGCGUAAAGAGUUCGUAGGUGGUAAUUUAAGUCUGAUGUUAAAUAAUAGAGCUUAACUCUAUCUCUGCAUUAGAAACUAAGUUACUAGAGUUGGGUAGGGGUCAGAAGAAUUCCUGGUGUAGCGGUGAAAUGCGUAGAUAUCAGGAGGAACACCUGUGGCGAAAGCGUCUGACUGGGCCUAUACUGACACUGAGGAACGAGAGCUAGGGGAGCGAAAGGGAUUAGAUACCCUGGUAGUC